AAGUAAAAGUCGUAACAAGGUCUCCGUAGGUGAACCUGCGGAGGGAUCAUUACAAGAACGCCCGGGCUUCGGCCUGGUUAUUCAUAACCCUUUGUUGUCCGACUCUGUUGCCUCCGGGGCGACCCUGCCUUCGGGCGGGGGCUCCGGGUGGACACUUCAAACUCUUGCGUAACUUUGCAGUCUGAGUAAACUUAAUUAAUAAAUUAAAACUUUUAACAACGGAUCUCUUGGUUCUGGCAUCGAUGAAGAACGCAGCGAAAUGCGAUAAGUAGUGUGAAUUGCAGAAUUCAGUGAAUCAUCGAAUCUUUGAACGCACAUUGCGCCCCCUGGUAUUCCGGGGGGCAUGCCUGUUCGAGCGUCAUUUCACCACUCAAGCCUCGCUUGGUAUUGGGCAACGCGGUCCGCCGCGUGCCUCAAAUCGUCCGGCUGGGUCUUCUGUCCCCUAAGCGUUGUGGAAACUAUUCGCUAAAGGGUGUUCGGGAGGCUACGCCGUAAAACAACCCCAUUUCUAAGGUUGACCUCGGAUCAGGUAGGGAUACCCGC
rnacentral:rRNA from 1 species